UGCGCGGUGAAAUCCCACCUGUGGUCCUCGCUGACGAGGGCCUGCUCGCCGAAGUAGCGGCCGUCGGCGAGGAUGUCCAGAACCGGCUGAUCGCCGUACUCACCGGUGCCCAUGGUCUUGACCUUGCCGUGCGCGAUGAGCAGCAGCUCGUCCGCCGGGCGGUCGGCGGAGACCAGCACGUCGCCCGGCUCGUAGUCGCGCCGGACGAAGCGCUCGGCGACCGCGCCCAGCACAGCGUCGUCGUCGACGUCGCGCAACAGCGCCAGUUCACGCAGUUCCGGUGGCACCACGUACACCGAGUCGCCGGUGUUGGAACAGGUCACCAGUCCGUCACCGAGGGCGUAGGUGAGCCUGCGGUUCACCCGGUAUGAACCGGCCUGGGUCUGCACCCACGGCAGCUUGCGCAGCAGCCAUCGCGGGCUGAUGCUCUGCAUCUGGGGCGGCGUCUUGGUGGUGGUCGCGAGGUUGCGCGCCUGGGCGGUUCCCAGGCUCAGCUGCCCGGACGCGGCGG
rnacentral:antisense_RNA from 1 species